rnacentral:miRNA from 1 species
AACUUGACUAGACGGAAAAUU